rnacentral:rRNA from 1 species
UACGAAGGGGGCUAGCGUUGCUCGGAAUCACUGGGCGUAAAGGGUGCGUAGGCGGGUCUUUAAGUCAGGGGUGAAAUCCUGGAGCUCAACUCCAGAACUGCCUUUGAUACUGAGGAUCUUGAGUUCGGGAGAGGUGAGUGGAACUGCGAGUGUAGAGGUGAAAUUCGUAGAUAUUAGCUAGAACACCAGUGGCGAAGGCGGCCAACUGGUCCGGAACUGACGCUGAGGUGCGAAAGCGUGGGGAGCAAACAGG